AUGAAGCUAGAUACCCG
rnacentral:miRNA from 1 species